rnacentral:lncRNA from 1 species
GCUUGCCUUGCUCGUUGCAUCGCUUGAUCAUGCGCUUUUGCGCGAGGAAAAUCUGGUGCAUCGGGAUCUCCAUCCCGAGGUCCCCGCGCGCGACCAUGACGCCGUCGGACUUGUCCACGAUGUCCUUGAAGUUGUCCAAGCCCUCUUGAUUCUCGACUUUGCUUAUGAUCGAGAUCGUCGCCGCCGCGGGGCCCAAGACCUCGCGAAUGUGAUCGAGGUCGCUCCCUUUCCUCACGAAACUCGCGGCGAUGAAGUCCACCUUGUUCUUCACGCCCCAUUCCAAGAGGUCGUUCGUAUCCUUCUCCGUGAUCGUGGGCAGGUCCACGACGUUCAUGUUCUUCCUCUCCCCGAGCUUCGCGUUGUUCUCCACGCGCGCGGUGACCUUGCCGCCGGUCACGUCGCACUGUAAGACGGUGAACGUGAUGCUUCCGUCGGCGGCGAGAAUCUUCGACCCCGGGCGGACGUCCUUCGCGAGGUUCUUGUACGACACCGCGAUGCACGUC